AAGCAAUGACAAAAGGGUUCCAACUGACCUCUGUAACUGUGAGGUUUCCUACACUUGACCUGAGCUCA